GAUUUUCCUGCCUCAGCCUCCUGAGUUGCUGGGAUUACAGAUGAAAGCCUGAAACUGGAAAGAUGAAGCAAUUUGCCCAAGAACUUAGCGUUACUGAGGGUCACAGUGAGGACCUGACUUCAGGCCCCAAGACCAAAAUUGCCUCUUUACCACCUUAAGUCUAGAGUAAUAGAGGUGGAGACAUUCUCAGUGUUAGAAGAGUGGAAUCUGGUGCUUACGCUUCGACAGAGCCCACUCUUACUGAAGCAGCCGUAUCUCCAGCCCAUCAAGAAGAUGAGGAUAGCGGCAGUGAGUACCUGCAGGAGAGAGAAGAAUGUUGAGAUGGGGAAAUUGACUUUGCCAGCUGUUUCUAGGUGCUGCCCACAGCUGUUGAAAUAAGGUGGCUGGCACCUCACAUGAACUCAAUUGUCCUGUUGACUCUGACUCUGGGGACCCACACUUGUAUGACUAGCCUGAUCUAACGCUGUGGAUGUUAACUUUCACACCCGACCUGCCUGGUCCCAAGCUAGUCUUCCUGUCUCUUAGAGCUUCUACAGACCCAAGACCAGCUUGUCAGAAUAAACUUUUCUGCAAGGAAUCAGAACACUCUUCCCAUGCCACCUUCCUGCUCCCCGCCCCGGGGUCUCUUUAAGCGUUCACAUUCAGGGAACCCCAGACACUUACCAUGAGGCCUCCUCCCCAGAGCCCAGUUCCCAGCAUGGCAUGCCUGCCAAUGAGGCCUCUCAACAGGUAGGUCACAUCCCAGUUAGGAAAGAGGAGUGCCAUGUUGGCCCCAGCAGCAAACAGGGCUGCAGUCCCAAGGCUCAGUCCCAGGAUACGGGAGCAAGUCCGUGAGCUUGCCGGCGUGCAGGGAGAGGACAGCAUCCUGGAACAGAUAGAAAGGGGUCGAGGCAGCUCUGCUGUGGGGGGAUGGGGAAGGGAACUCCAGCAGCAUAUCAUGGGUGGGGGAAACAGGCUACAGAAACCGCCACCUUCCAGGGUCAGACCAAUGAGAGCCAACUAACCUGCUUAAAAACUCUGCUCCUUCUGAAUCUUCCCCAGUCACUAGGAUUUGUUUCCUUUUCUGCCAACCCCUGUUCACACAUACAGAGUUUGCAUUCCAUCAUAGUUUAUGCCUCUAUUACAGUCAGUGAUUAUUUCUAUCUGACAAAAAGAAAUGUUUAAAGAUGUCUUCAUGACGUCCAUUUUCUCCACUUCUAUUCAACGUUGUACUGGUCACAGCCAGUGCAAUACGAAAA